rnacentral:rRNA from 1 species
CAGUAGCCGCGGGAAUACGUAGGGUGCGAGCGUUAAUCGGAAUUACUGGGCGUAAAGCGUGCGCAGGCGGUUAUGUAAGACAGGUGUGAAGUCCCCGGGCUUAACCUGGGAACUGCGCUUGUGACUGCACAGCUAGAGUAUGGCAGAGGGGGGUGGAAUUCCACGUGUAGCAGUGAAAUGCGUAGAGAUGUGGAGGAAUACCGAUGGCGAAGGCAGCCCCCUGGGAUAACACUGACGUUCAUGCUCGAAAGCGUGGGUAGCAAACAGGAUUAGAUACCCCAGUAGUCCCUGUCUCUUAUAC